rnacentral:lncRNA from 1 species
AGCAAGUAACUGAGUUCUUCCACAGUGGCUCUUGACCGCAAGUUGGUGACACACACAGUGGCUACUUCUGCCCAGCCAGGAGCCACAGGAUUAAAUGAAGGUGAAGGAGACCCCUGGUUGGAGAAAUCCCAGAAAGCCACUACCCACAACCAACCAGCUACUGUAUCCCACCCAGAGAAGAGGAUCCAGCCCACCCAGAAGGCGCCAGAGAGUCAGAUCAACCCUGUCCAGCCAGGUAAGGACUCAACAUGAUCACUCCAUGAUUAGUCUCUCAUUCAUCGAUGUUAAUACGGUUCAAAGUUUUAUGUAAUGCUUGAAGACCAUCAGGAAAAUGUGCUCCAAAGACAAAAUGAUGAAAAUUGAAAUGAAGAAUUUGGCCGAACAAA